UACGUAGGGACCGAGCGUUGUCCGGAUUCAUUGGGCGUAAAGAGCUCGUAGGCGGCUGUUCAAGUCGAACGUGAAAACUCGGAGCCAACUCCGAGCCUGCGUUCGAUACUGGACGGCUAGAGUCUGGUAGGGGAUCUGGAAUUCCUGGUGUAGCGGUGGAAUGCGCAGAUAUCAGGAGGAACACCGGUGGCGAAGGUGGGAUCCUGGCCAGUACUGACGCUGAGGAGCGAAAGCGUGGGAGCAACAGG
rnacentral:rRNA from 1 species